UCCAGAGGGUGCAAGCGUUAAUCGGAAUUACUGGGCGUAAAGCGCGCGUAGGCGGCUGCUUAAGUCGGAUGUGAAAUCCCCGGGCUUAACCUGGGAACUGCAUUCGAUACUGAGCAGCUAGAGUAUGAGAGAGGGAGGUAGAAUUCCACGUGUAGCGGUGAAAUGCGUAGAUAUGUGGAGGAAUACCGGUGGCGAAGGCGGCCUCCUGGCUUAAUACUGACGCUGAGGUGCGAAAGCGUGGGGAGCAAACAGG
rnacentral:rRNA from 1 species